GACGAACGCUGGCGGCGUGCUUAACACAUGCAAGUCGAGCGGAGCGGCGAACGGGUGAGUAACGCGUGAGUAACUGCCCCCCUCUCUGGGUUAACAGUUGGAAACGGCUGCUAAUACAGGAUAGUGGGGGGUGACUCGCGUCCUAUCAGCUUGUUGGUGGGGUAGUGGCCUACCAAGGCGACGACGGGUAGCCGGCCUGGGAGGGGGACCGGCCACAUUGGUCUGAGGGACGGACCAAUAUCCUACGGGAGGCAACAGUGGGGAAUAUGGCACAAUUGGGCAGACCCUGAGGCAUCAACGCGGGAGCGGAAAGCCGGCCUGCGGGUUGUAAACCGCUUCCAGCCAUGACGCGGUAGUGGCAGAAGAAGCACCGGCUAACUACGUGCCAGCAGCCGCGGUAAUAC
rnacentral:rRNA from 1 species